AGCAGCCGCGGUAAUUCCAGCUCCAAUAGCGUAUAUUAAAGUUGUUGCAGUUAAAAAGCUCGUAGUUGAAUUUCGGGAUUAGUACGCUGGUCAUGCCUUUGGUAUGUACUGGUGUUACUGGUUCCUACCUUCUGAAGAACCGUUAUGUCAUUAAUUUGGUGUGGCGGGGAAUCAGGACUGUUACUUUGAAAAAAUUAGAGUGUUUAAAGCAGGCUCACGCUUGAAUACAUUAGCAUGGAAUAAUGAAAUAGGACGUUUGAUUCUAUUUUGUUGGUUUCUAGGAUCGACGUAAUGAUUAAUAGGGAUAGUUGGGGGCAUUAGUAUUCAAUUGUCAGAGGUGAAAUUCUUGGAUUUAUUGAAGACUAACUACUGCGAAAGCAUUUGCCAAGGAUGUUUUCAUUAAUCAAGAACGAAAGUUAGGGGAUCGAAGACGAUCAGAUACCGUCGUAGUCUUAACCAUAAACUAUGCCGACUAGGGAUCGGAUGAUGUUAAUUUUUUAAUGACUCAUUCGGCGCCUUACG
rnacentral:rRNA from 1 species